rnacentral:lncRNA from 1 species
UUUCCUUAUGCUAUUACAACAUCAUUUCAUUCAACCAAACACAAGAAUACUAUUACAGUUCUAUUCCAUUCCAUUCAACCAAACAAUUGAAUUACUAUUAUGCCUCUAUUCCAUUACAGCGAACCAAAAAUGCCAUAAAUGACUAAAAUAAAAUAUGAGACAAAUAAAAGUGACUAUUUUAAUAGUUUAAGCCUAAUUGUGGAAAGUCGGAUGAAUAUAGAAUCGUUUAUUUCCAUUAAAAAGAAAACAGUUACAAAACUGAUAACUUCCCGAAUUCCCGACCAAACCCCGAGAAACAAAGGAUCAACGAUUCACUGUUCCAAUUUUUUGCUUACCCCUUUUGAUUUCUAUCAAAAAGAGAAUGACAGAUCCCAACAACAAACCUAGAAUUGUAAUCUGCGUAGGAGACAUCCAUGUCUACCUCACCAAACUCCUCAAUCUUUGGUCCAACCUCCGAUCCCAAAUCGACCCUGACUCCUUCAACACCGCCACUGUCAUCUUCCUAGGCGAUUACUGUGACCGUGGACUCGACACGCGCAAAGUGAUAGAUUUUUUAAUCACCUUGCCCAAUAUUCUAAAACCUACUUCUUAAUUAUUAUUAUUAUUAUUAUUAUUAUUAUUAUUAUUAUUAUUAUUAUUAUUAUUACUCCUCAAUAUUCUCUUUUAUCAUAUUUAUAUCAUUUUCUCAUUUUAUCGAGAAAUCAAUUAUACAUCCUGUCAUGCUUCUUGAUUUAACUCUCUUUUGAUAUUUUGCAACUUUCAUUUCCUUUGAUCUUAUACCUUAUUUCACUAAAAUUUUAUCUCAUAUUAUUUACGACCAAUGGAGUUUUGAGGAUGUUACAUAUUCUACUCAUUUUCUUCAAUCCAUAAGUUCGAAGGAAUAAGGAAACUUACCAGUUCCCAAUCUUUCUACUUCUAGACUCAAAAUUAGCAUUAUGGUUGCAACACGCAAAACUCCCUUCAGCUAUAUCCUCUUCUUCUUUAGGGCAACUGAAGAAGAUGAUGCUUAGAGAGAAAGAUUUUGGAAGUAGGACCAAGAGGAAUUAUGUUCCCAUACAUACACAUAUAUACUCCAUUGGCAUGGUCUCCACAAACCAUUGUGGCCACUCAAUCCUAAUUAUUAUGUUUCCCACUAUGGAACUAGUUGGUUUCAAUCUAACUAUACCAAGUUUGAAAUUUAAUGAUCUCCCAACCAGCCACUCAAGUUUUCUAAAUAUCUCAUUGAAGCCCUCAAAUUCCCUUUUUCAUCAAAUUGGCUCCCGGGCUUUCUUUUUUAUGUUUGGAUACUUAAGGGGCCAGGUGUGACAACUCUCCACCCUUAAAGAAAAUUUCGUCUUCAAAAUUUCCUCUCGUGGCAGUUAGGAGCAGUCUUCAGGAAACCGAUCCUUAUUAGGGAAUCCUUUUUCUCAAUUCAGAGACAAACAUCCCCAUUCACUUGAGUAAUCUAGCUUAUCUUUAGGUAUUUAAGGGUAUUUAAACAGCCCCAGUGUGAAUGGCGGAUCCGUAAUUUCCACGUAUGGCAGUUUUCUGCCUACAGGUGUUGGCGGAGUCUCGGGCUUACAUAUUGUACCAAAUCGUUCUCAUGGUAAAAAUUAAUGACCUGAGCCAAUAUGAGCGCGUACUAAUUCUGGCGAAUUUGUGAUACACAAUUUACUUGGGCGGAGUCUUUCGUUUUUUUGUUUAUCGAGGGGUUGGUGAUACCUUUCCCUAUAUCGAAAGUGUCAAAAAGGGGUUUAGGGAUGUGAAACAGUUUAGUACCUUUUUCCAAUCAAAUCUUUUUUUCGGAUGUUUGGUUAUCUAAACUAAUACUCGUAGAACCCCUUUAUCUAAAUCAAUCUUUUUCUUUUCCACCCCAAUUUCCUUGUCAUUUGAGUUUGUUCUUAAUUGUUGUAUUGUUAGCCCAACUUUGCAUAGAAAAAAUAUGUUAAGAAAUGAAGAAGGAAGGAAAAUAAAGGGAGAAGUAUAAGAGAAUGAAAAAUAAAAAAGAAAGGAAGUUAAAAAACAUAAAAGAAAAAAAAUUAAAUUACUCAAAAUAAAAAAAAAUAUGGAUCAAUUGUAAAAUUUAACUUAAAAUUUUUGUUUAAAAUGAUGAUGUAAUAUGUCAAGUCAGCUUACUAUUACAAAGUUAAUGAUAAUUAAUGGUUUAAUGAUUAAAAUAUUAUAAUAUUAUAACAUAAGUGAUUAAAAUAUAAUAUUUUAAAUAUAAAUAAUUAAAAUAAAAUAUGAAAUAAAUAAAAGUGACUAUUUUAAUAGUUUAACGCUGUAAAGUCGGAUGAAUAUAGACUGUUUAUUUCCAUUAAAAAGAAAACAGUUACAGAACUGAUAACUUCCCGGAUUCCCGACCAAACCCCGAGAAACAAAGGAUCAACGAUUCACUCUUCCAAUUUUAUGCUUACCCCUUUUGAUUUCUAUCAAAAAGAGAAUGACAGAUCCCAACAACAAACCUAGAACUGUAAUCUGCGUAGGGGACAUUCAUGGCUACCUUACCAAACUCCUCAAUCUUUGGUCCAACCUCCGAUCCCAAAUCGACCCUGACUCCUUCAACACCGCCCCCGUCAUCUUCCUAGGCGAUUACUGUGACCGUGGACCCGACACGCGCAAAGUGAUAGAUUUUUUAAUCACCUUGCCCAAGCGAUAUUCAAAUCAGAAGCAUGUUUUUUU